UUCCUGAACAGUGAACACUUGGCUCUCACCAGCCUAUAGGAGCCAGGCCUAGCUCAGGAUCGCAUGACUGCUGGCCUAGAACACUAUGCCAAACAAUUUCCUCCAGCUUCUCAAAACGCGCAGUUGUCCAGGGCAGAAGCUGAGUGUGCAGGAGGCUUGGUGAGGUGAUGCACUGAGUCCACAGGUCUGGGAACGAACCCAGUCAGCGACUCACUGCAUGCUCAAGUGUGUCUGAAUAAGUUAACUUCAAAACCAAACCGAGUGCUCAAGCCAAUGUCUCUCCACUGGUGAUGGAGAACAGCCUGGCAGAACUUUCCGCAUGGGUAGGUUCUGGGGAAUGAAUGGGGAGUCGGGAAAUCUGGGUGACAACUCUGGGUCUGCCACUAAUUGGCUCAAUGACCUCAGACAUGUUGCCUGACCUCUCUGAGUCUCAGCCUUCACAUCCCCAAAAUGACAGGCAGAUGAUCUAAUAGUCAGCCACUGAGUGUCUUCCAAGGCCUAUGGACUGAAUGCAACACCAAGGUUCCUGGAGAACCUGUUUCUGACCCAGGCAACCAUGCAAGUUGUGAAGCCAGAGGGGAGCUUGAGCACCAAGUUCAAGACGGCAGUCUUGCAAGGCUUUCCUCGAAGCAGCUCCUGCAGACUGGCUCUUUCACCUGAAACGCCGUAGUUUUGGACACAGAACCUUCGAGAGAAGAGCAAGGAUUUGGACUGUGGCCUGGAGACGGAAUCUGCAGCGCUCUUUCCCAAGGAAUGCAUCGCAGCCCCUCAGGCUGGAACAGGCAGGUGCUGUGAAAUCUGGCUGACAGGUCAGCUUCAAGGUGAUGUGCUUGCUGAGUCUUCUCUUCUUUCAGCGGAGCUCACAUCACGCCACUGGUGCCUGGCAAAAGUAAAUAAUGAUGAGUGAGUGUAUGAAGCAGGAGGGUCUCUACACACCUGUAAUUACUACCUGGCAAGUCCCUGCAGAAUGCAGGAGUUCCCCCAGAAUGCCAGUGGGGCCAUUUCUGGAGAGAGGAAGUCAACAUAGGUCCUCCAGGCAAGAUCUAGCUGGAGGAACUAGAAUUAAAAUUUUAUCACUGGA